UACGUAGGGGGCAAGCGUUGUCCGGAUUUAUUGGGCGUAAAGAGCGUGUAGGCGGCCAUGUAGGUCCGUUGUGAAAACUCGAGGCUCAACCUCGAGACGCCGAUGGAAACCAUGUGGCUAGAGUCCGGAAGAGGAGAGUGGAAUUCCUGGUGUAGCGGUGGAAUGCGCAGAUAUCAGGAGGAACACCAAUGGCGAAGGCAGCUCGCUGGGACGGUACUGACGCUGAGGCGCGAAAGCGUGGGGAGCAAACAGG
rnacentral:rRNA from 1 species